GACGAACGCUGGCGGCGUGCCUAACGCAUGCAAGUCGAACGGGGAGUUAGCAAUAACUCCUAGUGGCGAACGGGUGAGUAACGCGUAGACAACCUGCCUCUAAACUGGGGACAACACCGCGAAAGUGGUGCUAAUACCGAAUGUGGUAACUUGAUCGCAUGAUCGAGUUACGAAAGAUGGCCUCUAUUUAUAAGCUAUCGAUUAGAGAUGGGUCUGGGUCUGAUUAGCUAGUUGGUGAGGUAAUGGCUCACCAAGGCGACGAUCAGUAGCCGGUCUGAGAGGAGGAACGGCCACACUGGGACUGAGACACGGCCCAGACUCCUACGGGAGGCAGCAGUGGGGAAUCUUCCGCAAUGGACGAAAGUCUGACGGAGCAACGCCGCGUGAGUGAAGAAGGUCUUCGGAUUGUAAAGCUCUGUCGUUUGGGACGAACGUGGGUAGUGUGAAUAAUGCUAUCUAAUGACGGUACCAAAGGAGGAAGCCACGGCUAACUACGUGCCAGCCGCCGCGGUAA
rnacentral:rRNA from 1 species